rnacentral:lncRNA from 1 species
AUGACUCCGCCUCAUGUUUCACCGCAAGGACUCGUCGAGGACCGUAAAGCGCCACCAAGACCAAUAGGAACAGAGAGAGCAUGGAAGAUGGCUGGAUGUGACUCUCAACCUGAAUGGACAUUGGAUCAAAAGAUAGCGUGGAACCCGAUUGUCGAGAGGCAGCAGCAGUCUUAUAGAUCAGCGUCACAGUAUUCAAGAAUUUCUGUCACUGAGGAAAUUCAACCGAUUGUUGAUAACUCUAUUCCAGGAGUUGUGGGUGAUGCUGGUCAUUUCAAUGGCACGUCAGCUUUGCCUCUCUCUGUGAUGCACUCAAUGCCUCCUCUAACUCAUUUUGCAAGUCUGGAUGCAUCAAAUUUAGUCUGUCCCACUGAUCCAGUGAUUAAAACAGUAGAACCCUCAUGGGACCCAAGAUUGAUAUGUCUGCCGGAGAUUCCUGACAAGCAACAAGUACGAUAUGAAUAUGCUUAGUCCUUGACCAGUUGCAAAACUUAUUUACAUUCUCGAAGCAAGUUGUGAGUCUAAUAAUUCUAACGAAUCAUUCGGAGAUGCAGUAGAAACCAAUCAUAGACAAUUGUUGAAGCCUGCUAAUUUCGAUGUUUUGUAUUUCAUCUUGUUAAGCUUUUAUAUUAGUCUUUUGCUCUGGGAUCUGCAUGUCUGGAAGACUUGAUUACAUUUUUCUUCUUAAUUCGAACUUAGCUUCAUAUAUGAUUAAAACUAUACCUUAUUAUCAUGAGUCUGACUAGUUUGAUGUUAGACGCCCUUUUUAUCUUUUUGUCAAUCAUUUAUAAUCAUGAACUAUCGAUGGUUCUCACAAAUUUAUCACUAUCUUGUAGUUAGGAUGGCUUAACCAGGGUUUUAGCGGGUUCUUAGAAGAUACCAGGUCUUGUGUAUAAGAAUUGUUGUAUUUUAGACGUCCGCUUGUCGCAGAUUUAUAAACGUCAGUUAUGUAUUGAAACAUUACUUACACAUGAAAACAUCAUAAAUCUUCAUGUACUAUUCAUUACUGUAAUAUUAUCAAUUUAUUUUUUAUUUCUAAUUUUCUUUUCUUUUUCUUCCCUUUCACCUUGUUUUGUAAAUUGAGAUAAAUCGCAAGUUAUGUAAUAAAUAAAAAAAUAUGUUCUAUUAUUUCCUCAUUUAUUAUUUUCACUUGCUUGAUGCAUUGCCCCCAAGAUAAAUGCCCUCCAAUCAUGACACUUUUUUUUUCAUUUAUUUUUUUAGUUAAAUAGCAACAGUGAGUCUUUGCACCAGGGCUCAUCUGAGAAGAUCCUUGGAAAAUCAGCAGAUAAACCUUUAUAUGUACAUGUGUAGAAAUUAGGUGAUUAGGGAAAUUUGAAGAUAUGAAACAAACUUAUUUCUUCUAUUCGGAUUCAUACCUGGCUGGCUUCCAGUCAAUCCAUAAGAUAGAUACAUACAAAAAUCAAUUAUCAUAUAAAAUAAAAUCAACCAUUUUCUAAGUACAUUACAACAUAUUUAUUUGACAAAAAAUGGUGUAAAAAAGAGCUACAAGUUUACAAUUGAAUUUCCUCCUGUACAAAAACUGAUUACAUUUAUUCCUCCUCUACUCUGUAAACAUUAAAUUUGAUCCGUAAAAUAAUGAAUAGCAAAAAUACACUUUAAAUAUGUUUUGAGAAUGCAUGUAUUUACACAUAAAAUAAAGCUGGGGAAAGAAAAGAAGGAAAAAUUAAUUUUUUGUCCAAGAAGUAACAGCACAUCCUAAGACACAGAAUAAAUUUAACAGAUGUGAAAGUACACCUCAUUGAAAAUACGUUUAUCAGGGAAUGUUGAGUUUUCUAGGAAUGUCAAAAAUAAAAAAGGAGGUACUCUAGGAAUGAGGUGGCAGAGGGACUUCAAAAAAAUAAAUAAUAAAUUAAUGGAAAUAAAAUAAGAAAAGACCGUGUGAUCAAUUACCUUAAAUGUUUAGUUUAGAAUUGAUGAACUGUUUGAGAAACUAAAGGUUGGAUACAAACAGAAAAGUAGAUCUAUUUUCGCGAACCAAUCCUCAAAACAAAGAUUUUCUUUGAGAGACAGUUACUAUGGGAUGGGACUAAGUGCAACAGAAAGGAGCAAAGCCAUUUUAAUUUGGCACAGGAGCAUUAGAACUAGAACAAAAUAACAACAUUUAAGGGCAAUCAUCUACUUCUAUAGUUAUCCAGUCACUUGCCCCUUCAGAAGAUCAGAGGGUUGUUUCCCUCUUAAACUGAAAGAACAUUUUUUUUCUUCGGUCA